rnacentral:rRNA from 1 species
CAACAGGGAUUGCCCUAGUAACGGCGAGUGAAGCGGCAACAGCUCAAAUUUGAAAUCUGGCCCUUGUGGUCCGAGUUGUAAUUUGUAGAGGAUGCUUUUGGUUAGGUGCCUUCCGAGUUCCCUGGAACGGGACGCCAUAGAGGGUGAGAGCCCCGUCUGGUUGGACACCGAGCCUCUGUAAAGCUCCUUCGACGAGUCGAGUAGUUUGGGAAUGCUGCUCUAAAUGGGAGGUAUAUGUCUUCUAAAGCUAAAUAUUGGCCAGAGACCGAUAGCGCACAAGUAGAGUGAUCGAAAGAUGAAAAGCACUUUGAAAAGAGGGUUAAAAAGUACGUGAAAUUGUUGAAAGGGAAGCGCUUGUGACCAGACUUGGGCCCGGUCAAUCAUCCAGGGUUCUCCCUGGUGCACUUCUCCGGCUCAGGCCAGCAUCAGUUUGUCGCGGGGGAUAAAGACGUUGGGAAUGUGGCUCCUCCGGGAGUGUUAUAGCCCUUCGUGUAAUACCCUGCUUCGGACUGAGGUUCGCGCAUCUGCAAGGAUGCUGGCGUAAUGGUCAUCAGCGA